UUUUGUGGCCAUGCCUUUUUGGCAGUGCCCAGUCUUGUCUGGUCUCUGAAGCUAAACGAGGCCCUGGGCCUGGUUAGUGCUUGGUUGAGAGACCACUGUGAAUAUCAGGUGCCAUAAUUA
rnacentral:rRNA from 1 species